CAAAAACAUCGCCUUUGGGAAAGAUCAAAGGUCCUGCCUGCCCGGUGAUUUUUUGAAAAAAUUAAACGGCUGCGGUACUCUGACCGUGCAAAGGUAGCAUAAUCAUUAGCCUGUUAAUUUCAGGCUGGAAUCAAUGGCAAGACGAAGAAUAAGCUGUCUCUUUACAUUAUAUUUGAAUUUUUCGUCUUGGUUAAGAGACUAAGAUGAUUGAGUGGGACGAGAAGACCCUAUUGAGCUUUAAUUUUAAAUUAGAGAUAAAGUCUAAUUAGAAAUUUUGGUUGGGGCAACGGUUUUUUUAAUUAAACAAAAGGGUAAGGAAUGAGUUAAUUCAAGGUUUGACCCAAAUUAUAUAUUUUGGUAAAUAGAAAAAGUUACCAUAGGGAUAACAGCGUAAUUCUUUUUGAGAGUACUUAUUGACAAAAGAG
rnacentral:rRNA from 1 species